GACGAACGCUGGCGGCGUGCUUAACACAUGCAAGUCGAACGAAGAGCGACGGAAGCUUGCUUCUAUCAAUCUUAGUGGCGAACGGGUGAGUAACGCGUAAUCAACCUGCCCUUCAGAGGGGGACAACAGUUGGAAACGACUGCUAAUACCGCAUACGAUCUAACCUCGGCAUCGAGGAUAGAUGAAAAGUGGCCUCUACAUGUAAGCUAUCACUGAAGGAGGGGAUUGCGUCUGAUUAGCUAGUUGGAGGGGUAACGGCCCACCAAGGCGAUGAUCAGUAGCCGGUCUGAGAGGAUGAACGGCCACAUUGGGACUGAGACACGGCCCAGACUCCUACGGGAGGCAGCAGUGGGGAAUCUUCCGCAAUGGACGAAAGUCUGACGGAGCAACGCCGCGUGAGUGAUGACGGCCUUCGGGUUGUAAAGCUCUGUUAAUCGGGACGAAAGGCCUUCUUGCGAAUAGUGAGAAGGAUUGACGGUACCGGAAUAGAAAGCCACGGCUAACUACGUG
rnacentral:rRNA from 1 species